ensembl:lncRNA
CUUAGCUAUUGCUUAAAGAUAUAAAAAUAAAUCAGACCCUGAGACUUCUCAGAGGGAACCUGAACAUUGCUUGUGAAGGUUCUUUUCUCAUCAUUGGCCCAGGACCUCUCCCCUUCCUACCCUACAUCGACUGCAGCUGGUCUGCGGCAUUUCUCAGAAGGCCAGGUAGAGACUUCAUUUCUGCUUGAUGAUAUGGAGCUUUAGCUUGAGUGACUCCACUGCUUUCCUUGGUGCUUGUUUGUUUGUGAUGCUAGGAACUGAACCAAAGGCUCCAACAUGCUAGGCAAGUGCAGAGGAGUGCAGGAGAUCUGUCGACAUGCUAGAGACCUGAAGAAUCCAGGCCUGGAUCCCACAGCAGUGUCCUGCACAAGUCCAGCUAAAGGCUGAGAGCUCCCGGCAGUGUCCCAUGCAAGUCCUUAUUGAGGAUCUGCACCGGGAAGGCUCCAAGGCCAGCAGUGGAAGUAGAAAGUGUACCCCAGCGGGGUGAAGAGUCUGUGCCACCAGGCUGAGGGAUCCACACUGGAGCCAGGAAGUGACACUCAAAACAGAGACCAGAGCUCCCCUGAGAACAGCAGCUGUCCCCAGCCACGCAGGACUCAGCUCCUCCGAGGAUGAGAGCACCCCAAUUUGCAUCAGGAAAACCAGCCUCAGGAAGUUUCUCCAAGAAAAUCAAUGACCAGUGAUCUUCCUCUUCAGUUCUCUUUUCCUGCCAUCGGAAGCAAUCCUCAGGCUCAAAGAUCCUCCUGCUUCAGCCUCCCAAGUUGCUGAGGGACUAUAGGGAUGGAACUCAGGACCUUCCACUUGCAAGGUAGGCUCGGUGCCACUGAUCUAAAUCCCCAGCCCCCAGGGGCUCCAACUUUUGAUCCUCCUGCCCUAGCAUCUCAGACAGCUGGGAUUACAGACAGGAGCCACCAAGCCCAGCUCCAUUUCCUCAUCAAGCCACCUAGUCAAUCUAAUCUAAAUUAACCAUCUCCCAGGGCCACAGCCCUAAGGAUGAUACUUAGAUUAAGUUCCCCACCUCUUAACACCAUCCCAUCACUGUAAGUCUUUGGGGGAUCAAAUCCCUGCCUGAAUUGGGGACAAACUAUUUUCUUUUUCUUUUUUUGUUUUUUUGAGACUGAGUCUUGCUAUAUAGUUCAGGCUGCCCUUGAACUCACUAUGUAGCCUAGGUUGGCCUUGAACUCUUGGAGAUCCUCCUGCCUCAGCCUCAGAGUGCUGGGAUUACAGGCAUGCGCCACCAUGCUCAGCACAAGGGGACAAACCAUUUUCAACCCACAGCAGUCUGACUUCUUUGUGUUCCAGCUGGACACCUUCUCCUCCCCAAGGAUCCCCUGCCUCCCAUCCCUGUUACUGUGUCAUCGCUAUGAGGGUGGCUCUGUCUCUACCACUGAACUUUAGGCAACUAAAGUCCACCUAAAGUGACUGCUGGGUCCCCAACCCUACUCAUCACAGGACCUGACUCUGUGCUCAGGGUAAAUGAGUCCCUCGAAGGAAAUGUCCAUUCCUGGAAGGGAGCCAGGGCAGGAGUCCUCACGGUGUCUCAUGGAAGAUGAGGGUGCAGACUGGGCUCAGAGAUGCCUGAGUUCAUUGGGGUUUUUUUGGUUUUUUUGGAGUACCAGGAAUCAAACUCAGGUCUUUGCACUUGCGCAGCAGGCGGCGCAGCCACUGAGCUAAAUCCCCAGCCCAUAGAGACGCCUGAGUUCAAAUCCUCUGCUCAGGCAGUGGGUCUAGGCCCCUGAAAACUUCAUUACUUUCAUCUGCUUCCAAGUCAGGAAACUGGGAGAGUGAGGCUGUCCCAGGUAUUAGUAGAGAUAAUGUCAGACUACAUG